GGGGUGGGGGUGGGGCAAACAGAAGGUGAGACUUGGCAGAGCGGGGUCCGAGAUGGGCCGGGUCACAGAAGGACCCAGUUAAGAGGGACCCAAGUUCGACGUCAAUGAGAACACUCCCAUUAAGGGUCAAGAGAGACGUCAAGUUUUGUCUGGCUGGAGGCUGCCUGGUCCUGCGUAGAGGAAGGAGUGGAUGAAAUGACCUUAAAGAGGAAAUGAUGCCCUCGGAGAGGCGACAGAGCUCUUGAACAGGGAGACCGAGCCCACAGGCUACCAAGGGAGAGACUCCUGCUCCAUCCACCCCUGCUUCCUGCUCGCUCAGGGCCUGGCACUGAGUGGGAGACCCAAGGGUAGAGAUCAGAGGGAGCUCUGUCCCCGUGGAGGAGCGGAUAGUAAACCCAGGACCCUGAACGUACCUGAUUUCCACCAACAGAACUGGGGGCUGGGAGUUCCCAAACUUCACCCGGCAGGAGGAGCUAUGCUUGCCGACCUGCCAGACACUGGAAUUUCUACCCUGGGGAGACCUCCCCUCUGGACAGUUUUCCCUCCAGGAAGCUGGCCCUUCAAAAGAGAACACGCAUACAUUUGUACCAAAAGUAAAAGCGAUACAAAUGUUGCCUUUGAGUCUCUUUCCCCCGAGUCUCACAAGACUUCUCAGGUCCACUCAGCAAGCUCUUGGGGGGACAGCCCCUACCUACACAGCAAGCACAGUACUGUCUGGAACCCUCCAGAUGCCUCUUUUAUGGAAGGUCAGCUCCAGCCCUGCUUUCUCUGGUCAAACAAGCACCAGCCUGGUGGGUAAAGCGCAGCGGGUGGCAUCUGACAGCACUCGUGGGCCCCUCCCCCUCCCCUUGCUUUGCCGUUCUGGUCCAGGCGCUCUGGGUAGAACCAGGGUGUUAGUGUUUCUCAAGGCACUCCAAGGCUGAGCAGAGCAGUGGGCACCUGCCACUCCAGCUUCUUGGGAGGCCCGCACAGGAGCCGGGAAGUUUACAGUCAGCUUGGGCGAGAUUGGAUGAAGCUCUCGGGAGGCUAGGAUGCCUUUGGAGACACCGGCAUCUCCAUCCAGUUGGAUGCUUGGUGGUCACAACCUAUCUGCGGGACCUGCAGGAGGUCUGGAUGCAGCCAGCGGGGCUCAUCUGUAGAUCAACAAUUAACGCGCGCUGGGAGAAAGAAAUCAGACUCGGGCUGGUGCCGGAGGUUUGCGCCCCAGCAGCUGCGGGAGAGACUGCAGGGCUGACAUGCAAGUUCUGGACUUGGUUAAAGUGGGAUGGAAUAAAGAGGCGACACCCCAGGAGAGUCAGCUGGGCAUCGCCCUCACCACCCUCGCCCACCCUAGGGCUGAGAGGCUGACGGCUGAAUUGCAGAGGCAGGCUCCCUCCUGGAGGCGGAGCCGCCGCGAGCAGGGUGUGGGUGGACAUGGGGACUCUGCCUUGUGUUUCACUGGGAGCUGGGAGGGAAGCAGGUGGCGGAGCCUAAGUGAGUAACCACCGCCCUGCAGCAGCCGAUCUCAACCUCUCAGGCAGCCCAGAGAUGCGACAGGGCCUCUCCGCCUCUGCUGCGCCUCUUGCCCUCGCACACCCGGGUCCUUCUUGCACACCCGGGUCCUUGCACACUCGUCUUUCUUGCACAUCCAGGCCCUUCUUGCACACUCGGGCCCUCCUUGGCCACGUCCACCCCACUCCACGGCUCGGGCUUGGCCUCCUGCCGCACAUGCAUCGCGUUCCCCUGAGGGGAUAAGCUCCCUCCCACUUCCAGGCCCCAGCCUGGAGGCACCCAUCUCUCCCUGGCCAUGAGGGCCAGGCCAAGCGAGAGCUGUGGGCCUCGCUGCCUAGCAGAGCGGCAGGGCUGUGUCGCCCUCUGCUGGCACACUCGGGCACUGCUCCC